GUCCUUUUGAAAAUAAUUUAAGGUCUAACCUGCCCACUGAUUAAUUAAAUGGCCGCGGUAUUUUGACCGUGCAAAGGUAGCAUAAUCAUUAGUUUUUUAAUUGAAAACUGGAAUGAAUGGUUGAAUAAAAAAGAUUCUGUCUCAAUUUAAAUUAAUUAUAAUUUUAUCUUUAAGUUAAAAAGCUUAAAUUUUGUUUAAAGACGAGAAGACCCUAUAGAGUUUUAUAAAUUUAUUUUAUAAUUAUUUAAGAUUUAAUUUUUUUUAUAAGUAUAAAUUUAUUUAGUUGGGGUGACUUAAAAAUUUAAUAAACUUUUUAAUUAAUUACAUUAAUUUAUGAUUUGUUGAUCCAUUUUUUAUGAUUAUAAGAUAAAAUUACCUUAGGGAUAACAGCGUUAUUUUUUUUGAGAGUUCUUAUUGAUAAAAAAGAUUGCGACCUCGAUGUUGGAUUAAAAUAAAUAUUUGGUGAAGAAGCUAAAUUAUUAAGUCUGUUCGACUUUUAAAAUUUUACA
rnacentral:rRNA from 1 species